rnacentral:rRNA from 1 species
UACGUAGGGUGCAAGCGUUAAUCGGAAUUACUGGGCGUAAAGCGUGCGCAGGCGGUUUCGUAAGUCUGUCGUGAAAUCCCCGGGCUUAACCUGGGAAUGGCGAUGGAGACUGCGAGGCUAGAGUUUGGCAGAGGGGGGUAGAAUUCCUGGUGUAGCGGUGAAAUGCGUAGAUAUCAGGAGGAACACCGGUGGCGAAGGCGGAUUUCUGGACCAGUUCUGACACUGAUGGGCGAAAGCCAGGGGAGCAAACAGG